rnacentral:rRNA from 1 species
ACCAGCCAUGCCGCGUGAAGGAUGAAGGUCCUCUGGAUUGUAAACUUCUUUUAUCUGGGACGAAAAAAGGGCUUUCUAGCUCGACUGACGGUACCAGAGGAAUAAGCACCGGCUAACUCCGUGCCAGCACCGCGGUAAUA